rnacentral:lncRNA from 1 species
CCAGUGGCUAACACAUAAUUACAGUCUCAAGCUUGCUUUGAGAAGAGUGCUGGGCUUUCUUUGUGUCUGGUCUUCUCAACAGCUGUGUCAUCAGGCUGGCCUGCCUACUCACCGUUUCAAACACUUCAAGAAAAUAAAAUGGAUGUCUAGUAAAAGAAAAGAAACAUGUUUCCAUGCCCUUGGAAGGAGGAGGACUGGUCUCCAUUUUGCUCUUCAAGAAGAAAAUACUUAUGAGGCCAACACAGCUGCGGGACCCACUCACGCCAGUUCUGUUGUGAGUGUCCCUCUAGCUGGUGCAAGCUUAGUGCACAUGAAGUAUGUGUCCUGGGAAGACGCUGGGACACUUACUCUUUAAUGAGUGUCUUCACCAACACUGACCAGGUGCUGAUGGGAGAUGGUUUGCCUUCAAUACAAAUAAAAAAGGAAGAAUCUCUUUCUGCCCCUCGUGCUAAAGAGAUUGCUCUGCACAAACGAUCCCUGUUGUUUUCUAAGGAGAGACAGAAAGGAUGUGGAUUCUGACAGGAGAGAAAAGAGAAGAGAAAUGAGAAAAGGGGACAGGGAACAGGAGCAAGAAGAGGUGUUUCAUAAGAAGGAAGAAAGCAGGAGGUGGGAAGAACAAAGUCCCAUAUGGAGUUUUCCUACAGACGAUGAAGCCGGAUUGAGAGAAGACAGUGGUUUCUACCAAGAACAACAAAUGUGUGUGGGUUUGCAAAAGUAAAUAUGAUCAGGUUUUGACACGUGACCUUGUCUUCUCAUAAAAGUUGAAAAAAGAUUCGGGGAUUUUCUUACCCUUUAAAAAUAUUUACAAAUGCCAGUGGCUCAUGGAAGAGCAGUUAUUAAAUUGAUUUUGUAAACAUGAAACAAAGAAUAAAGCUUCCAUCC